rnacentral:rRNA from 1 species
GACGAACGCCGGCGGCGUGCUUAACACAUGCAAGUCGAACGGAAAGGCCCUGCUUUUGUGGGGUGCUCGAGUGGCGAACGGGUGAGUAACACGUGAGUAACCUGCCCUUGACUUUGGGAUAACUUCAGGAAACUGGGGCUAAUACCGGAUAGGAGCUCCUGCUGCAUGGUGGGGGUUGGAAAGUUUCGGCGGUUGGGGAUGGACUCGCGGCUUAUCAGCUUGUUGGUGGGGUAGUGGCUUACCAAGGCUUUGACGGGUAGCCGGCCUGAGAGGGUGACCGGCCACAUUGGGACAGAGAUACGGCCCAGACUCCUACGGGAGGCAGCAGUGGGGAAUAUUGCACAAUGGGCGGAAGCCUGAUGCAGCAACGCCGCGUGCGGGAUGAUGGCCUUCGGGUUGUAAACCGCUUUCGCCUGUGACGAAGCGUGAGUGACGGUAAUGGGUAAAGAAGCACCGGCUAACUACGUG